ACGGCCGAGUGGGCGGGCCCGGCGUCGCCGGGCGCUGCGGGCCCCCGCCGGGUGGCCGAGGAAAGGAGGGGAAGAUGGCGGAGUGAGAGGAAGAGGCGGAGGGGCCGGGGCCGGCCGCGGCCCCGCGGCCUCGGCCGCCCUGAGGCUUACUGAAGAGAAGGUGGAUUGAUGAAAAAUAAUGCUUUCCACGUCUGUUUUUCCCCAUCUUCAUAACAAGAAUAAGACUUUCCCUACAGUGUGAGCAUGGGUGAUCAAGCUCAUGAUCAGCUGAAAAAUUUGAGUGCCUCAGAGAGAAAAUGAUGGUGACGUGCUCUGUAUUUCCAUUUCAUGAUCUGCUGGCUACUUCUAACAUAGGACUUGAAAAUUGUCACUGGAAGAUAAUUUCUGAACUUGAUCUACUAAAGGGUUAAGCUCUCCUCUUGGUUUGGGAUUCCGGAUCCUCUCCUGACAUUCAAGAAGGUGGUCCUCUUGCUUCCCUGUAGGCUGUGAGAUGUGGAUGUAUCUCUUUCAGCAAGCAAAACCCUGUCCUUCCCUUACAUGGAGCUGAAUGAACAAAGAUGUCUCCACUUCUUUCAACCAUCUCGCCCAACAUUUGAUUACCAGAUAACUUCUCCCACAGAAGCACCCCACUGUUUUAUCAAAACUCAAAAGCAGAGUAACAGAAAUCAGCAUUUGUUUUCUUCUGUGCCAGCUCUUCAUCCAGCUUCCUGCAUUCUGUUCUAAAAUGAGAAAUGUUUCAUAAUCAGAUGCUAGUGGAAGCUGGUUCACUGGUACCUCCUUCUCCAUUUUAGGAAGGUUAACUUCUUCACUGUGUCAUGCUGGAAUUCCUAGCAGAUAGUCUCUGCAUAGUAGGCUACUGUCUUGGCAUGUAUGAAAAGUUGCAGAAGGAAAACCAGAACAUAUUUUCUGCUCCUACACAAGGAAGAAACUUAGCAGACAACUAGGGACAGCCCAUACAGGUAUUUUCUAGUCUAGGACCCAGGCUUGGCUUUAUAGAUGGAUGUCUUGAUGUCAGGUCAUAUAAAGCAGCUAAUGCACAGGAACAAAUGCAGAAUCACCUUGUCUAUAUAUAUAAAUGCAUUGUCCCAGUCUGAUCAAAAUAUGUAUUUUUGCAUGUGUAAACCUGUGGAAGUGUGGAUAUGAAGAGCUUUCACCAGAAAGAGAACUUACUCUGCACCAUUUCAUUUUUAGCAAAGGAAAAAUGAACCUUUAGAGGCCUCUGGGAUAACAGGAUAGUGAUUAGAUUUACAUUAAAUCAUUCCCUUCCUCUGAGUUUUUAUGAAUUCUUAGCAGCAAAAGGAACAAAAGAGAGCAGAAAGACUUAGGACAGGCCUUUUUCUGCUGCCUCUUAAUCCUUCUCAAACUAAAGUGCUAUCUGUUGUCCUUAUGUUUACACAAGAUUCUUUGUCUCCAUCAUUUGUGAUUAUGUAGAAUGUUCUCUGUCAUUCUGAGAUGGGAGCUUAGAUUGUUAACAUGCUCCCUGCUAUGGUAUUGUAUAUGGCAAGUAAGAUUUCUUGGAAAAAAAAACAAAAACAAACCCUAGAACUGGGAUAUGUAUGCUAUUCCACUUCAAAUCUGGAGCUCUUCUUGGUGCACCUUAUUCCAAGCUUGUGAUUUAGAAAAUGUGACCUACUAGCUUAAAAUAGUAUUUUCAGAUCGGGAUCAAAUGGAGUUAUAUAAGUUCUGUUAACAAUUUUGGGAAAUAGUAACAUGGUUGGGGUUUUAAAUUCCUUCUUUUAUUAUGGUUUUCCUUUUAGAAAACUGCUUGAGAGAGCCAGACAGCCUGAAAAUGUCUGCCAAAGCCAGCAACUGAAAUCCUUACAUCUUACAGCAGAUUUCAUGGGCAGCAAUUCUGAUAAUUAAAAUGAGGUGAUGUUUUAUGGGACCAAGUUCUGCAGCAGAGUAAGGACAAAUGUUGAUCUUGAUUCUAAUCUUCAGAGUAGUGUUGAGUCAAGCCUGUGUUUAGACUUGUAAAUUAACAAGAGCUCUACUGGUUUUUGUUUCCAUUAAGAGAUUAAAGAGUGGUGGGCAAGACACUGGUAAAAAAAAUGCCAAGUGUGGUGCACUAAAUUGUGUGUAAUAUUGUGAUGAGUUGUGUGGUAAGAGUUACACUGAUGAGGCAACCACCAGCUUGGAUUGAUUUCUUGUAAGAACAUAGGAUUUCUUUGCUGAAUUUGGUCUUGAGUAUUCUGGCACUGAAGGCAGCUAGAAAAGCCUGCUUCUGCUUAGGGCCUCCUGAUGAUGAAACCAAUGAGAUUUAAUGAAGAUGUUUGUAGAAGCAGGAUCCAUCUCUACGUGAUGGAAAAUACUGUCCAUAUCAUAGGAUUAGAAGAGAUUGGGAGGCAGCUGGUAGAAGAAAUACCUGAUUUUAGAUCUGGCAAUUUCCUUUUCUUCAUUUUCCCUAUACUUACUCCUCAGAUGUUUAGAGCUAGCAGUUGUUUCUUGCAUAGCUUGUUAACAAUAUACUUGGGAGGCAGGAAGGUAUCUUUAUUUUCUGUGGACGUGUACAGUAACUAAAUUAGUCUGAACAGAGAGUACACACUUAAAGCUCUUUGAAUUCUUUUUCCAUAGGAAUAAACCUCAACGUUUUAUAAACCUACAAGGUAACAAAAUACUAGAAUUGCUAAUUUUUCAUUACUCCUCUCCAUGAAAAUAUAACAUUAGUUUUCAAAUUUAGUUUUAGAGCAUAGCAUUUUCAGUAGGACAAAGGAUCUGUGAGUUUCACAGAAGUAAAACUCUGACAGUGCAUGCCCAGAAGACCCCCACUGCCAUACCUUUCCAGCCAGCACCUUUAUAAAACUGCUGUGUUAGGAAAUGCUUCCUCAGCCUACUUACUUUUCUUGCUCCACUUUUUCUCUAUAUUGGUUGAAAAUCUUCCCAUGUGAGAGAUUACAAAAACAAGGGGCAUGUGCAAUAGAUCAUAUAUAUAUACAUAUAUAUAUAUAUAUAUUUUAAUACUUGUGGACAAAAUGAUGUUACAAGUUGUUUGAAAACAACAAAAUCACCAAUGUCUUCCAUUUUGAGAUGUGUAUAGUUCCAUAAGCAUUAGUGCUUUGUAGCAAACUGUAGUGCCAUGUUAGGAUCAGUGCAUGAGCCUAGUAGUAUUUUUACAAUUUCAGAGUGACAAAUUUAUUAAUAAACAGUGAUGAUAGUGUAAUUAACAAUAGAAAGGAUACAAUAGAAAUAGUCACAAACAUGGUCUAAACAUGCAGUAUCCUCCCUUUGAUGAUGGAAAUGCUGUCCUUAGGAAUGGAAUGCAUUCAUUUAAUGGGCUUAAUAGAAUCAUAGCUGACUUUCUGGUUUCAGUCUAUCUGUCCAACUGCAAUAGUAAGCUAAGUGUGUGUAAGAGUCCAAAAUGCUCAUCUCUGUCAGUGUGUUUCUUUUCUGUUUGGUCUUUAUUGAAGGUGUUUUCUUCCAUGUGUAGCACUUUCAUUUGUAUUAUUACUUAUCCUGUGAUACACUCAGAAAAGUACAAAUAUACUAAGGAGUUUGUGUGUAUUUUGUACACCUCUCUGCUACCUUAAGAUUAUUUACAAAAUCUGUUAAUUAAGUUGAUCUUUUAUUUAGAUCUGACUAUAUAAUUGUUACGACUAGUUAAAAAUUACUAUCAUUAUAAAAUAAUGGUUGCAAAAUACAUCUGCCAAUUACACAUGGAAGACUUUUAUCCAUCGUUGCAGGAAUGGGGAACCUUUUUUGGCUGAAGUCCUACUGAGUCUUCUAGCACCUUUGGUGGAUCCUGCAUUUACAUACAUCUUCAUGUUGAUUAUAAUAGAGAAUAUAAUAAGUCAAGAGCUGUUGAAACAACUAACAUUGCAGUCUGUAUCUGUACAGCAGGCUAUUAUUCUAGCCUAUGGAUCAAAGGUUCCCCACCCCUGUAUUACUGAGAAUUCAUUGUCCUGUAUUUUAGGUAACUCCCAGGAUUGAUUUCCAGCUCUAAGCUCAGUUUUAAUAAUUUCUGUCUCUCCCUCUACUUUUUGCAGAAGGAAAGUUUAGACCAGGGGAAGUCCAAAUGAUUUAGCACUCAGUGAGCAGUUUGAACUGGUCAAAUAGGAGGCUGGUGUGAUUCCUGAGAUGUGCAAUGCUCUGUGGAUGGCAUCCUCUGAUUUAUCUUAGGAAAAAGUCUUUUUCUUUGGUGCCAGUGUUGCUCUUCACCAUUUAUUUCUCUCUUUUACAAGAACAAAAUUAUCUUCCAAUUUAGAGAGGAUACUGCAUCUUUUUUUCCUGAGACCUGCCUGUAAAUGGCCAUUAGGGGGAGGGAGGGGAUGGGUAGCUCGGUUUUGUAAUUUUGAUACCAUUUCUCUCUAAAGUAAUGAAUCAAGAAGCAUGUCCUUUGGUGCAAAACCAAAAACUCGUGAAGAGUUAAUGUAUGUAACAGGGCAAACCAGCCAACCAACCCUCUGCAUCUAAUAAAUUUCCAAGAAAAUUGGACAGGUUGGCCAUUUACAGCAGAGCUCUGGAGGACCUGUGCUGAGAGUUAGGUUCAGUUCCAAGUAGAAGUAGCUGUACCAUUGAAUAAAGUAGUUUAGUGCUUGGAGAAUCAAUUGAAAAAUACCUCUGAAACCGGAAUGCAAAAUAGCACAGUAUGUAGGGGGAAGAAUCCCUGAUGCAAACAAAGCCAUAAGAUGAUUUAAUAAGAAAAUAGAACUUUAGUAGCAAUAACUGUUUCUGCAUGUGAUAGUAAAUAACUUGCAUUAGCAAGACUGUACAGUAGAGUAAGUGAGUAAUAACCAAAUAAGUUUGUGGUGCUCUGUGCUGCAGGGAGUCGUGUGAAGAAUCUUUUCCUCAGAAAAUGGGUGAAUUCAUCUUAUGUUCCUCUCAUUGGAGGGAAUUUGGCACUUGAAUACUUAGUUAAUGAACCUGAUAAAUAAAAUUUAAAAAAAUUAGCUUUGUCACAUGUCUGAAGCACUGUCAGUGAGUGCUGGGGGAAGGGCAGACAGUUCUUUUCAAAAGGAUAGCUAAGUUUCCCAAUUUUUUUUCUUUUUUUGUAAUCUAGUACUUGCUGUGUUUCUCUGAGAAGAAACUAAAUCCUUACAAAUAAUUGGACUAUGAAGAGAACCUGACUGAAGUUGGAAGCCUUUAUUGUGGAAAGUAAUUUUAGUUUUCCUUGUUUAAAAAGACCAAUCUGAGAUGAUCUUUAAAUAAGAGAACUAGAAAACACUUGACACUCAAACCAUUUGUACAUCCCGAGCACAAAUGCAGUAUUCUAAAAAUGUUACUAUACAGCAAAAAAGAACUUUGGCCCUGCUAAAUGCUGUUUCAGCCUGGAGUUUUGCAGAGGCAAGUGCUGUGAAGUCCCUGGUUUCACUGUGGCUGCAGCCUUUGCACCCAGCAAAGUAUUUGCUGUCAAAGGAUUCCUACAAGAACCACAGGAAUUCUAAAAUAUCCACAGUUGAUGCCAUUUUCAGUCCAGGUAUGUCAUCUAUAGAAGACAGUAUGGCCCAAGAGAUAAUACUACAUUCUGAACAGAAUUAUUACAUCAGAAGCUUUGAUCUAUCUGACAAGAUUUAUUUGAGAAAGCUGGAGCAGUUUGGUGUAAGGCUGAAGGGAAGCUUCUGAUGUUUUAAGACCAGGGAGGUGAAGGCAACCUUCAUAGGUUGAUAAGGAGACUGUGAGGGCUGUGAGCAUUUUUUACAGUAUAAAGUACUCAAGAUGCAUGAGGGUGGGAAAAGCAUGCUUGCAUUUCCAUUUGGAAUCCAUUUGGAAUGUUGCAACCAGCUGAAGUUCCAGCUAUUGAAUUAUUGAUAAAAUUGGAAGCUGGCUGUAGGGAACUCUUAAUUUCUUACCCGAUUACAGUAGAGAAAUUAUACAUGAAUUCUGGUCUGUGGUCAGCAAGUGCAUUUACAUAAUAAUGAAAUAAUAAUGAAAACACAGUCACGUUCAUACUUCUUAACUAUGAACUUAAUAACUGAAUAGAAUUCCUUAAGGAUUUAUUACUUCAGAGAGGUGGGAGGAGAGGAACCAAGAUGGCGGUAGCCAGGCAAGCUAUCUAAAUAUUCUUCCCAGAUCAGACUUUUUAUAACAAUCUGUACUCUGUGGGCUGCUAGACUAGAAAUUACUAUUCACAGCAACAAAAUGAAUCGUUUUGCCUUUCAGCAUGGCCUUUGCUCCAACCCCCUUGAUUUCACUGCUUCUAAAACUGAAGUGGAAGUGGAAGAUGCUGCCACAUUUCAGUGUGGGAUAGCAGCAGCGGAGUGGCCUCCUUUAGCAGUCCUGGUGUUGAGAACUGCACCUUCUGCAGGACAAUUGUCAGUUUUAGGACAAAAAAAGAAAGUCCUGCAAAGACUCCUUGAUAGUGAGUGAGAGGAAGUUAUAGUGAACUACAGGACACUGGUACUUUUCACAAGGGUUACAUUGUCAAGAGCUGGCAGUGUGGGUUUUGGGCAGAGAGGGGAAAAAUACAGAAGAAUGUUUUUUUAAAGGAUAACCAGUCUUAGAAGUGCUUCUUGCAUCCCUAGGUAACUGUCUGGUCUUCCUCCAAAAACUAAUCCUGCUUGCUGUUCAGCUACAGAGCUGCAUAAUUGCAGUUCCAAGUUACUCUAUUGAAUUUCUUUUACCAAGUGAGCCAGUGGUUUCCCAAGCAGUGCUUUGGAUUGGCACACAAAGCCAGCAGUGGUCACCAUGGAUUGUGAUGUCUGUUCCCCUUCAGUCUGCUCUGUGCUUUCUUACCAGUUUUAGAGAAACUGUCAGUGUUUAUGAUGUAAGCAGAGCCUAUGUAGCAGGUUUGAAUAAAGACAGAUUCUCUAAGACUUUACAACAUUUAAGGUUAAAGGUAAAAGGCAACUUAAUGUUUAGUGUGUCCUGUGUAAAUCCUGUCUGCUUCUCUUCAUUUCCCCUCCAAAUGAGUGUUUGCAGGUCAGAUAAAAGACUGCUAGUUUGGAAUGCCCUAGGCAUGAAGAACUGCAUUGAGAAACUGAAGGAAAGUGGCACAGGCCCACAAACCAAAUCUUAGAGCUAGUAUUCUAAUUAUGCAUGAUUCAAAAUGUCUAGUGUAAUGUAGUUAUUACCAGUAAAUUGAGAUAUGCAUUUAUACAUAAUAAAGCAAUAGGAAUUAAUAUACCAAUAGCUUGAACUUCCUGCUUUGAUUCUCAAAUUUUGUUUCUUUAGGGAAUGUGCUGCCUCUGUAGAGAAAGGGGCAGAAUGUAUAGAUAGGGACAGAAGCAUGGCACCAAAACUGUAAAUCAGGAACCAGGAUCAGCAGAACUCACCUUUAUAAACUUGUCUGGUUCAUAUUAAUGUCCUGGGCAUGUAAAAAGCAGGGCAUGAACUAAGCCUGUUUAGGGGUGAGAUGAGGUUUCUCACCUGCUGCAGCUGUAGCAAGGAAAAGGGUGCAGAGUUUCUUACAAGGUGCAGGGGGGAAGCAACAGGUGAAAAACAAACAAACCACAAAUCAAGCGAAGACAACAAACCAAGUAAUGGAAACAACAGACUUAAACUGAGUGUUGUGUUUGCCAGACAGGAGGUAAUAAACUUGGGUGUGGUGAGAGAAAUUAUUUGGAGAAGACUGAAAUUAAUAAGCACAUUACAUAUAUUUCAGGUGUUGAAUAGCUUUUUAAUAGACAGUAUUUUCAGGUAACUCUCUAGCCACAUAGGCAGCUGUACUGAAGCAUACUGGUACCAGCCAGCAAUAAUGGCACCUGCAGGAAUGAGCCUGAAAAUACUAGUAAUCUUGUAUAUUUUUUAAGUUCUUUAAAGAGAUUUUUAAAAAUAGAAAAUAAGAUUUGAUCACUGAAGGUCUUUAUCUUCUGCAACACAGGUUGCAAUAGUCUUUUUUUCUUUAUUUCAGUUAUUAAAUAAAAGGGAAUUUGGGUGCCAUCUUUCUGUAAACUCUUAAGAGUGUUCUCUAAUAUUUCCCAAGUGUUUUAGUGGAUAAUGCAGUGAAUUUCUGCUGGUGGUUUGAAAAUAACAUAGAACGUGUGACAUAGCCUACAUCACUAAUACUUUUCCAAGUUUCAACUUGUGUCCAAACAUAUAGAAUACUAGCUUGUUACUGCAGAAUUAUAUACUUCCAGCUUAGCUUAGUUUUGCAGGUGGGCUUAACUUGUGCAGAACACUUCUCCAUGUACAGAGGUUUAGUCCUCUUUUAUUUAAGAAAGAGGAAGGGUCUUGGAGGAAGAAAUUGUGUGUCAAGUUAAAUCCUGUUCAUCCUUCAUAACCAACCAUCCAUAAAGCACCGUGAUUUGAGUUUAGAAUGGUGGCUGCAUUUUUCUCAUGAGUGCUUUUUCUAGAUGUACAAAAAUUGCCAAAUGAAGAUAGGAAUAUUGUGAGAGAAGAUCAAUAUUUUAUGGUAUCAGAAGUUAGAAUACAUUAAAUCCUUUGAGCCAACUUCUUCAAGCAAAAAGGGAAUUUGUAUAACAAGUUUAGCCCAGCAAUUAACCAUGGCCACCUAAUUCUUAGUGGGUAUUCUUUAGAGUGCUUUGCAUGGUUUCAAACUCUGUUAAAUAUAUUUUCUGUGUGAUGAGUAAGCAGUUUUAUCAGUUGUUAAUGCUUAUUCCCAAAGAUACAAAAGUUGGGCAAUAAGCUACUUUAGGAUGUCAGUGAAGAUUCCUUCCUCUUGAAAUAUAUAACAGCAACAAAGUAUUAGCUAUAGAUCCUUAAAUAUUACAUUUUUACUUAAAAAACAGGUUAGAAAAUACUUCUUGUACUGAACUUCUGAUGGCAUCCUUACAUGGAUUAAUGGAGGAAUUUAUUGGUGUUACUAGGAACUAUGUACUCCCAUUACACACGUUUUACAUGGCAACAGUGAAAGAAUGUCUCCCUGUAAUUCUGAUGUUUUUCCAAAAGGCAGCUUGCUUUUAUAUCUAUGCAUCUUUGAGGUUUUCAAGAUAAGAUUUUAUUCUUUUGACACUGUAAAGAGGAACUGUUUAAAAAUAAACUUGGAAACUCUGCACCUGUAUACAAAUUUUUUUUAGCAAUAAAGCAGCACAGGCUGAGAAUGCACUAAAA